UUACUACUCCCUCCAUGCGAAAAUUCUUGUCUUAGAUUUGUGUAGAUAUGAAUGUAUGUAGUCAUAUUUUAGUAUUUAGAUACAUCCAUUUGUAGACAAAUCCAAGACAAGAAUUUUGGGACGGAGGGAGUACACA
rfam:Hordeum vulgare subsp. vulgare, WGS project CAJW01000000 data, contig: morex_contig_2556087